rnacentral:lncRNA from 1 species
GGUGUCGGUACGCCCGGAAAGGGCGUCCCCAGAAUACCAGGAUCCGGUGGUGGGGUGGGCCACCUGGGCCAGCCGCCCCGUCCUUCCUGGGAAAACAAACCCGAGGGUAGAGAGCCCUCAAUCGGACCACGACUCCACCCCUGGAAGAUCCCUGCCCCCGUUCUGCCAGAAGCCCCUCGAGACUCGAAGUCGAGAGGAUUUUUUGGACCGGAGGCUCCAGGAGAAGAACCGA